GGGGCUGUAGCUCAGCUGGGAGAGCGCCGCGUUCGCAAUGCGGAGGCCAGGAGUUCGAUCCUCCUCAGCUCCACCA
rnacentral:tRNA from 1 species